rnacentral:rRNA from 1 species
GUCGGGAAUAUUGCGCAAUGGAGGAAACUCUGACGCAGUGACGCCGCGUAUAGGAAGAAGGUUUUCGGAUUGUAAACUAUUGUCUGCAGGGAAGAAACAAGACUGUACCUGCAAAGAAAGCUCCGGCUAACUACGUGCCAGCAGCCGCGGUAAUACGUAGGGAGCAAGCGUUAUCCGGAUUUAUUGGGUGUAAAGGGUGCGUAGACGGGAAAUUAAGUUAGUUGUGAAAUCCCUCGGCUCAACUGAGGAACUGCAACUAAAACUGGUUUUCUUGAGUGCAGGAGAGGAAAGUGGAAUUCCUAGUGUAGCGGUGAAAUGCGUAGAUAUUAGGAGGAACACCAGUGGCGAAGGCGACUUUCUGGACUGUAACUGACGUUGAGGCACGAAAGUGUGGGGAGCAAACAGG